rnacentral:rRNA from 1 species
UGCGUAGGGGGCAAGCGUUGUCCGGAUUUAUUGGGCGUAAAGAGCGUGUAGGCGGCCUGAAAGGGCAGCUGUGAAAACUCGAGGCUCAACCUCGAGACGUCGGUUGAAACCAUCUGGCUAGAGUCCGGAAGAGGAGUGUGGAAUUCCCGGUGUAGCGGUGAAAUGCGCAGAUAUCGGGAAGAACACCCGUGGCGAAGGCGGCACUCUGGGACGGUACUGACGCUGAGACGCGAAAGCGUGGGGAGCGAACAGG